rnacentral:lncRNA from 1 species
AUGCCCAGCAUUCCCGGCGCGUGGCAGAGGAGCGAGUAUGCGGAAGGACCUCUGAGCAGCUGCCCGCCCGCCUGCCCUCUCUGUGCUUCAGCCUCAGGGGCGGGGCAGGGCUCGCAUUCUGGUAGCCGCAGUCCCCGCUGGCUCUUGGAGCUCUUGCCGGGUGCCACUGGACAGAGCACACCUCACGCACGUGUGGGUCAAAGCAUCACACCUGCGGCUGUAUUCAAGCAGGAGGUCAUCGAUUCCCUGCCCAGAGCCCCUGGGACGAAGCAUCAGGCUGCCUGCUGUUGCCGCUGGACGUUUGGAGGGGUUCAGGCCAAGGAAGGCCCCUAGCAAGGGCUACCAGGAUGGGUGCUGUCUGCGUGGGGUGAGCCACUGGCUUGUAGGGCUGGAGCAGAGCUAGGGGCCUCUGAGCUGUGCUGCUCUGGGGAUAUCAUCUGCACACUAAGGACCCCCCCCACCCCCCCACCCCCAGCCACCCCCAGCCAGUGGGACGCUGCUGGGCCUUCUCUCCCUUCCCACCUCCUCCCACCCCACUGAAGGCCUGGAGAUGCCUGUUUGUGAGGGAGACUUGCACCCCAGCCUUGCCCCGUCUGGUCUGGCCACCUCCUGUGGUAGGACAGACACCCACUGUGCUGGGGAGCAGCAGUCGCCUUGCAUCAGGGAGACCAAAGUGAUCGGCAGCGAUGACUCAGCAGAUUCAGGCAGGCCUGAAUGUGCCGGAGCUUCCAGUUCCUAGGCCAAGUGCAGCAUCACCCACACUGGCGCUGGCUUCCAGGCCCGACUUCACGGCAGGCUGCUGCUCCACUGGCCCUGGACGGUCAGACCACUUCUAUGUCCAGCUUCGUCAGUGUCCCAGGACAGCUCUCCUGCAAUCCGGGAAAUGCGUGCACGUGGUCCGCGGGAAGGUGGCUCAGCAGAGCCAUGUUUCCUGGUAAAAGCACACGGGGCGCCGCGCUGCCACCCACAAAAUGGAGCAGAGCUCUUGGAAGCAAACCUGCCAUGUUUUUCCAGAUGUUUUGAAACGUUGACUCUAAACAUGGCCCAGAGUAGUUAAAUGGGAAGUGGAACUUUUGUUUAUUCUCUUAAGUGAUGACUACUUGUCACAUCUCCGCAGCCAGACGCACACUCAGCACCGUUCCUGGGCGUGGAGCACGAGGGCUUCGGGCCUCGACACAGCACAGGGUGAGACCAUGCCAUCAGAGAAGAUGGGCACAUUCCUGACCUGGACGCUGGGCAUUUUUGUUCUUAUGGCUCUUUAAGAAGAAAGUCUGUGCCGAUGGAGUGGGGCUGACUGGCCAGCGUGGGGGUCCCAGCAUCACCGACAGGCUCAGGCUCCGUGGUCUCUCCUUACAGGCACAGGCCUCCCCUAGGGGGCCUGGCUCUC